rnacentral:lncRNA from 1 species
UGGGGCAUCUCAUGCCCCAUCUAGCCAUGGCACACUUUAAACUUUAUGCCAUGUGAUAGAGGGUUGAGAGGCCUUCAUCAUAGGUGUGGAGAUCAGAUAAGAAGAAGAUUUAAAAUCUCUUCACCGAUCAAAACAAUUUUAGCCUUAUCAUUUUGUGCACUAGACUUGAUAGAGUCCUAACCAACUUGGACUCUAUAUAUGGCACCC